AUGUAUUAAGGCAAUUAUUCCUCGAUCUUUUCGGCAGCAGUGUAAAUUUGCUCACGUUUUUCUUCAACAGCCUUGGCUCUACGUUGACGGGCAGCCUUGGCACGAGCACGACGAGCAUCUUGUUGCUCUUGGAUCAACUUGGUACGGUUGGCCUCGGCCUUGGCACGUUGGAUAUGUUCAAUCAAGGCACGUUUGUGCUUGAAGGUGUUACCCUUGGCUUCCAAAUAAAGAGUGUGGUAAAGAUGCUUAUCUAUCUUACCAGACUCACGGUACUUGCGAAGGAGACGACGCAAGACACGUUGACGACGCAUCCAAACAACAGUAGAGGGCAUACGAGCCUCAGCAGUACCCUUACGCUUACCAUAACCGGUGUGACGACCAAGACGCUUGGCAGCAUGAGUUUUACGGAUACGGAAACGAGAGUGCAUCAAAUUGGGCUUGCGAAUGACCAAACCAUCCUUGACCAAUUUGCGGAUAUUUUGACGGCUGUUAGCAUUGCUAAUUUCACUGAUCUCAUUGGGAUCCAUCCAAACUUUGCGCUUGCCGCAUUUUAAAACAGAGGCAGCAAGACGCUUCUGUGUUCUCAGAUUUGCCAUUGUUAAUA